UUCUCAUUUCUUUAACUGAGCUGUUGUAAAUGUGUGUUUCCCCCCUGGGCGAGGAAUGAAGUCAUUCAAUCUUCCAACAGCCCCACUGAUUAUGCAGACAAAAAACAGAUCUGAGCUUUGCUGGCUGGCAUCGACGCAGUUUGGUUUUCUUUUAUGACUUAUUUGAUAAUAUUUCCUGUCUGUCCUUUGAAGCCCUAGUAAGAGACCACAAUAUUCCACAAUCUCACUUCUUCAGAUAUCUUCAGGCUCGCAGUUUUGCCUCCAAACAUUUCCCAACAUACCCCAAGCCGCCAAACAAAGAUUCCACAUAUGAUUUGCUAAAUCUCGAUCCUUGGAACAGGGGUCUGAUUUCCAAGGCCUAUAUCAUACAUCAUACACUAAAACCAGAGAAAGCUGGGAACGAGACCUGGGAAUAUCAAUUCCUGAUAUUGUCACAUGUUGUGGUCCUGUCCAUCCCUAGUUGAUUUUUGUUUGUUUAUCAGUUUUAUCCAAAGCAUCUCUCAAACCCAAUCCGCUCACUGCUGUAUUUGGAACCAUAUCACCAGAAAUACAGUAUAUACCACUAAUGCUUAAAAGAGAGCAUUAGCAUUCUGUAGCCUCAUAGCCCGCAGGGUGAUUCUAAUGAAUUGGAAAUCUAACAAAUGCCUGUCCUUCAAGAGGUGGAUCCAGGAGAUGUUAUCUCUACUCCAGCUAGAAAAAAUAAGGCACACAUUGAAGGGCUCCUGUGACGCAUACACCAGAGUGUGGUCUCCCUUUGUCGAGUAUGUGAAGGAGUUAAAUCUGUAACGUGUCAUGUUAUUUAAAUGCUUCUCUGUUUGUCUGACUGGCCUAUUGAUGUCAUGCUUCUGUAGUAUCUCUGGAUCUCUUUUUUCCUCACUCAUGGCCCAAGGGAGGGAAUACGUGGUUAUGUUAACGUGUAUUGUUAUUUUUGUUUUGCAUGUGUCUAACUUUUUGUUUAUAUAUUUGAAAAUGCCUUAAAUGAAGUCAUAAAAAGUCUGCUUUUAGUAGAUAUUAGUGCCUGCAUGGAUGGUUUUUUAAGAAUAUUUGUAAUGGAUCGGGUCUAAAACCAGACUAAUCUGGUAAUUGCGUUGGAUUUUACUUGAAUAAAAACUCUAGAGUCACUGACAAUGUGAA